CAGCAGCCGCGGUAAUUCGAAGGGGGCUAGCGUUGUUCGGAUUUACUGGGCGUAAAGGGCGCGUAGGCGGGCGAAUAAGUCAGGGGUGAAAUCCCAAGGCUCAACCUUGGAACUGCCUUUGAUACUGUUUGUCUUGAGUUCGAGAGAGGUAAGUGGAACUGCGAGUGUAGAGGUGAAAUUCGUAGAUAUUCGCAAGAACACCAGUGGCGAAGGCGGCUUACUGGUCUGUAACUGACGCUGAGGAGCGAAAGCGUGGGGAGCGAACAGGAUUAGAGACCCGUGUAGUCCCUGUCUCUUAUAC
rnacentral:rRNA from 1 species